UACGAAGGGGGCUAGCGUUGUUCGGAAUUACUGGGCGUAAAGCGCACGUAGGCGGAUCGAUCAGUCAGGGGUGAAAUCCCAGAGCUCAACUCUGGAACUGCCUUUGAUACUGUCGAUCUAGAGUAUGGAAGAGGUGAGUGGAAUUCCGAGUGUAGAGGUGAAAUUCGUAGAUAUUCGGAGGAACACCAGUGGCGAAGGCGGCUCACUGGUCCAUUACUGACGCUGAGGUGCUAAAGCGUGGGGAGCAAACAGG
rnacentral:rRNA from 1 species